AAAAGAAAAAAACCAAAAAACUUUUAAUCGAGUUUUCUCUGCUUUCUCUUCACGAACUCACCGCUCGAUUUUCUUCUCUCAGUGUUUGAUGAAGGAGAUUAAGUGGUACUUUCUCCGAUUCUUCCGCGAUAUGGAGAUGUUGAGUAGAUAGUUUUGGGGGUUUCUCUUUAAAUCUUCUUUUGUUGUUAAAUGGGGUUUUGAGACUGUUUGUUUUUCUUUUCUUUUAAGAUUUGAAAAAGGGGUUUUGUGUUUGUGUUGUUGGGAUUCGUCGAUUGAAGGAAAGCUUGGUUUUUGAUACAGUGGAUUGCAAACAGGUUCAAUUUUGGUUGUUUCUCUGAAUCAAUAAACCCUAACCCAAUUUUUUUUUAUAAAUUUUGCAGGUGCGAUUUUUUGUCCAAGAUAAGUUACGGAGAAACCCUAAUAGCCAUUCAAGUUUACAGGCCUCUCAAACUUGACAUCUUUGAAUCUUAAAAGAAGACAUCUGGAAGAUGGGGAUAGCUGCAGAUAUGAUGGGAAUGUGACUUAAGCUUACGAUGGGACUUUAGGUAUGGGAGAUGGAUAAUUUGACUUUUGAAGUAAACCAAAACGGUAGUGUGUUGGAGGCAGGACAUUGAUGAUGACUACUCAGUUCAGAGACAUGAUAUUAAGGGGUGGGGGGUAACUAUAUGUUUUGCAAGUUUUGCCGGAUCGAGAGUGGUGUUGUCUCAAGCGAAUGAAACAUGAUUUCAGCUUAUUUUUAGCUCUUCAAAGGAGGAAUCAUAGGGAUAGGAGAAGGUGGACGAGAUCGAGUUGGUCUGUUACACACUCUAGCAACACUGCUUGAGUUCACGGGAAGUGUUCUAAUUCAUGCACUGCUAGGAGUGAAAAUCUUACCUCUUGAAGACCAAAAGUAGGCGAUCCUGUCGGGGGUUAUCCAAAAUCGAAAGGUAAAAAGGUUUAAAGAUGGUAGUAACUCUUCUAUCCAAAUUACAGACUGAUUCUUGCAGUGGCAACAUUUUUUCCUCCUUUGAUCGAAAACAGUAAUGGUGAAAGCGAAGGUGACAAGGGUGAUGACGAUGAAUAAAUAUAUUUACUCAAGAUACGGUGAUCUAGAUGAAUAAAGGCGGAGAAUGGACACCACAGUCCUCAAGAAAUGGCGUUUCCUACAGGAUGUUAACUAUUUUAUACUUACUCUGACAGUAGAUUUUGGUUCAGUCUGAACUAUGAUUACAUGAACAUAGUUCAGAUGAUGCCUUCUUUUAUGUUGAAAAAUGUGGUAUAUCCCUUGGAUUAAAGGGAUCAAACUAAAUUGGUUACAUUAACGGUGCUUUGUAGUUCAUUUUUUCAAAUCUUAGUGAUCCGGAUGACAUAAUUUUUAUAGUUCUGGUGGCUUAGAUUAUUAUAAAUUUCCACUUAUUUUA